UACAGAGGUCCCAAGCGUUGUUCGGAUUUACUGGGCGUAAAGGGCGCGUAGGCGGCGCAACAAGUCACUUGUGAAAUCUCCGGGCUUAACCCGGAGCGGUCAAGUGAUACUGUCGUGCUAGAGUGCGGAAGGGGCUACUGGAAUUCUCGGUGUAGCGGUGAAAUGCGCAGAUAUCGGGAGGAACACCUGAGGUGAAGACGGGUUGCUGGGCUGACACUGACGCUGGAGGCGCGAAAGCGUGGGGAGCGAACAGG
rnacentral:rRNA from 1 species